rnacentral:rRNA from 1 species
CAAUAGCGUAUAUUAAAGUUGUUGCAGUUAAAAAGCUCGUAGUUGGAUUUCUGGUCGGAAGCUCCUGUCCUCUGAUGAGCGUACAAGUGCGUCCUACCAUCCUUCUGUUAACCUUUAAGGCUUUCGCGGCUUUCUAGGGGCUCAGAUAUUUUACCUUGAGAAAAUUAGAGUGUUUCAGGCAGGCUAGCGCCGGAAUACAUUAGCAUGGAAUAAUGGAAUAGGACUUUUGCCUCUUCUGUUGGUCAUGAGGCUCGAGUAAUGAUUAAUAGGGAUAGUUGGGGGCAUUAGUACUUAACUGUCAGAGGUGAAAUUCUCGGAUUUGUUAAAGACUAACUUAUGCGAAAGCACUUGCCAAGGAUGUUUUCAUUAA